rnacentral:rRNA from 1 species
UGAUCGGUACGGGUUGUGAGAGCAAGGGCCCGGAGAUGGAACUGAGACAAGGUUCCAGACCCUACGGGGUGCAGCAGGCGCGAAACCUCCGCAAUGUACGAAAGUGCGACGGGGGGAUCCCAAGUGUUAUGCUUUUUUGUAUGACUUUUCAUUAGUGUAAAAAGCUUUUAGAAUAAGAGCUGGGCAAGACCGGUGCCAGCCGCCGCGGUAACACCGGCAGCUCGAGUGGUAGCUGUUUUUAUUGGGCCUAAAGCGUUCGUAGCCGGUUUGAUAAGUCUUUGGUGAAAGCUUGUAGCUUAACUAUAAGAAUUGCUGGAGAUACUAUUAGACUUGAAGUCGGGAGAGGUUAGAGGUACUACCGGGGUAGGGGUGAAAUCCUAUAAUCCUGGGAGGACCACCUGUGGCGAAGGCGUCUAACUGGAACGAUCUUGACGGUGAGUAACGAAAGCCAGGGGCGCGAACCGGAUUAGAUACCCGGGUAGUCCUGGCCGUAAACGAUGUGGACUUGGUGUUGGAAUGGCUUUGAGUUGUUCCGGUGCCGAAGGGAAGCUGUUAAGUCCACCGCCUGGGAAGUACGGUCGCAAGACUGAAACUUAA